UACAGAGGUGGCAAGCGUUGUUCGGAAUUACUGGGCGUAAAGGGCGCGUAGGCGGCCUACUAAGUCAGACGUGAAAUCCCCCGGCUUAACCUGGGAACUGCGUCUGAUACUGGAAGGCUUGAGGAUGGGAGAGGGAUGUAGAAUUCCAGGUGUAGCGGUGAAAUGCGCAGAUAAUCAGGAGGAACACCGAUGGCGAAGGCAGGUCUCUGGGCCAUAACUGACGCUGAGGAGCGAAAGCUGGGGAGCGAACAGG
rnacentral:rRNA from 1 species